GAUUCUGCUGUCACGAACUGUCACUGCGAGCCCAGAUCUCAAUCAAUGGACAAACAUGAUAAAAGCGCGUAACUGAUCAAAAAAUUUCAUCACAGUUGAAAACAAUCGGAUCAAAAUCGACUCCUGCACACCCAAAAGCAAUGUAACACCUUUUAGUUUGAUUGAAUAAAAUGUAUUGAAAUACGCGUCUUUUCACACUUUUCCAAUUAAAAUUAAAAUUAAAUGCAUAGAAACCUGUGGCCCUUGUGUUUGCCUAGGAAGAUCGAAGGUACACAACUAAAGAUAACUAGCUAUUUUCCCAAAGCCUGCCUUGAUUGUUGUUGGAGAGCUUGAGCUGGGGAAACUACAGUUUUUCGUCACAUUUCAAACAACCGCGAAGAUAAUUAGCUGCAGCGAUUCCAGCGAUACUUUGUAUGUUCUGCGGACAUUUCUCCAUUCCAUUCGACAUCCGUUUUCCGGAAAGAUGUUGGGAGCAGCUCGAAAAGUCCGUGUGGACAAACUCAAUGAGAAUUACUUGGAUGAAUUAUUACAAUGCUAAAAUGUGGUAAAAAAUGCAAUACGUUGUGAACAGUU